rnacentral:rRNA from 1 species
AGUGAACGCUGGCGGUAGGCCUAACACAUGCAAGUCGAACGGCAGCACAGUAAUAGCUUGCUCGUACGGGUGGCGAGUGGCGGACGGGUGAGGAAUAAAUCGGAAUCUACUUUUUCGUGGGGGAGAACGUAGGGAAACUUACGCUAAUACCGCAUACGACCUACGGGUGAAAGCUGGGGAUCUUCGUACCUUGCGCGAUUGAAUGCGCCCAUGUCGGAUUAGCUAGUUGGCGGGGCAAAGGCCUACCAAGGCGACGAACCGUAGCUGGACGGAGAGGAUGAUCGGCCACCCUGGAACUGGAACACGGACAAGACUACUGAGGCAGGGAGCAGUGGGGAAUAUUAGACAGUGGUGGGGAGCAUUGUCCAGCCGUAGCGCGUGGGUUGAAAAGACGUUCGGGUUGUAAAGCCGUUUUGUUGGGUAUGAAAAUCUGCAGGUAAAUACCACGCUGUUCUGACGGUACCUGCAGAAUAAGCACCGGCUAACUUCGUG